UUUUCGCUGCGAAUCCCCAUCGGGCAGCAUGCCGGACCGGUGCCAGCCGUGUAAAUAACACCACAUCACAAAGGGAUGCCACAAGGAAGCCAGAGCUGAUUACUGUGGAUCACUGCAUUGUCCCUGCAGUACAUGGUUUGCCAUAAAACAGUUGGCCUACAGGAAGUUGGUGGUGAUGCUGGCGAACACUACGGUACCCGUAUUUAAGAUAAU